UGUGCCUACGGGACGCAGCAGUGGGGAAUAUUGGGCAAUGGAGGAAACUCUUACCCAGCAAUGCCGCGUGAAUGAAGAAGGUUUUCGGAUUGUAAAGUUCUUUAAUUGGGGACGAAAAAAAUGACGGUACCCAAGGAAUAAGCCCCGGCUAACUACGUGCCAGCAGCCGCGGUAAUACGUAGGGAGCGAGCGUUAUCCGGAAUUAUUGGGCGUAACGGGUGCGUAGAUGGCAUAGUAAGUCUUUUGUAAAAAUGCUGUGCUCAACCCAGUAGAG
rnacentral:rRNA from 1 species